UUACAUUUAAAGACUGCUAGAUUUUCCUUGUUGAUUUUAUCAUAAGACAAAAAAGUGAGAUCUGACUAAAGUAACAAGUAAUCAGAUCUGGAAUAGUUAUUUGUAAUUGUGUGAAUGCUAAUUGUUUCACACAACCAUAACAAAUGUUUGGAGAAGGGGUUAAUGUUAAUGCUUGUUUGUGCAUUGUAUCUUGUCACCUUGACAACAAGAAUCUCGACAUUGGAAGAGAAUCAUUUGAAGCCAACAAAUUCAUCUGUCCGGUCCUUUGGCCUUUGAUAUAUAGGUAACUGAAGUCCCACAAUGUGCAACGUACUUGGCGAUAACGUUACAACAAACCAACCCAGAGGCCCAGCUGAGAAGAUAGCAUGGAGUUCAGAAUUGAGCGCCUGCUGCGAUGAUACAACUAUGUGCUGCGCUUCCUUCUGUUGCACGCGUUUAAUGACCGGUGCGUUGGCAGAGCAGUAUGGCGAAGGGUUCGCUGUUGGGCUAAUGAACUCCCUCCCAGCGUUAAGAAGUGAGAUGCGAGAGAGAUACAAUAUAAAGGGAAGCCUAUGUCACGAUUGGGGUGUAGGUGUUUGCUGUGGACCUUGUGGCCUUGUACAAAUGGCCAAAGAGGUUAAUAAGAGGCGCCCAUACUGAGACGCUCCUGGUCGUGUACCGGAAUGAAAAUAAAAUGUCUCUAAAAAAAAUUCCCCUGUUUUUUGUUGGUUUCUUCAAUCACCGUUACAGUUUGCAGGUUCAGGCCAGGUUAAUGAGCCGUUCCCGUGUAAAAACACAUAAAUACACACAAACAAUAGGGUCACCUAAAUGUCCAACGGAUUUAGUCAUUUUGGGGAUAUUGUGAUGUCCGCAACAGUGUCACCUUUGUGUUUUUGGUAAUUGUAUUUCAUUUUGAUAAUACUGUUUUCCUUGAAUACAAGGUCAUGUAUUUUAUUUUGGAAAAAAAUGGUGCUAAAGAAACAAAAUAAUUUCUGUGGUUUUAAAAUGUUUCUUUCCUAAGUAGAUGGACUUGUUGUACUUGCUCCAUACCAGCAGGGGGAAGAGUCGCGUAGCGAUCUCCUCUGCGUUCGUUGUGCACGUUCAACUUAUAACUGCAGAAAACUCGAAAGCAUCGACACGCUGUUGCCCUGCCUUGUCAUUUCUUUCCUGUAUAUAGGCUAUUAUCUGUUAGCUCGGUGCCGCCGCUGCGGUACCCGUUAUAAUAUCAAUGCCUGUACUGUAUGGUGUGACACAAGUAUCUGAACGCUUCUCUUUGCUCAUUUAUAUGCAGUCUCUCGAUAUAACCAAGCAUCUUUUUUUCUACAGACUAAAAAAAAAUCUGAAAGUUACAACAAACACUCCAGUACCCAUAAGGAUCACGAGUAAACUGACCACGUAGACAUGGAGAUGAGUGAUGUCUACAAUGUGUCAUCUGAUAAACACAACUGAUACAUUGAAUUAGUUACAUUUAAAUACUGUUCUUCAGCUG